AUUGAACGCUGGCGGCAGGCCUAACACAUGCAAGUCGAACGGUAACAGGGAUCAGCUUGCUGAUUCGCUGACGAGUGGCGGACGGGUGAGUUAUGUCUGGGAAACUGCCUGAUGGAGGGGGAUAACUACUGGAAACGGUAGCUAAUACCGCAUAACGUCGCAAGACCAAAGAGGGGGACCUUCGGGCCUCUUGCCACCGGCUGUGCCCAGAUGGGAUUAGCUAGUAGGUGGGGUAACGGCUCACCUAGGCGACGAUCCCUAGCUGGUCUGAGAGGAUGACCAGCCACACUGGAACUGAGACACGGUCCAGACUCCUACGGGAGGCAGCAGUGGGGAAUAUUGGACAAUGGGCGCAAGCCUGAUGCAGCCAUGCCGCGUGUAUGAAGAAGGCCUUCGGGUUGUAAAGUACUUUCAGCGGGGAGGAAGGGAGUAAAGUUAAUACCUUGGCUCAUUGACGUUACCCGCAGAAGAAGCACCGGCUAACUCCGUG
rnacentral:rRNA from 1 species